CAGUCGCCGCGGUAAUACGAAGGGUGCAAGCGUUAAUCGGAAUUACUGGGCGUAAAGCGUGCGUAGGCGGUUUGUUAAGUCUGCUGUGAAAUCCCCGGGCUCAACCUGGGAAUGGCAAUGGAUACUGGCAAGCUAGAGUGUGUCAGAGGAUGGUGGAAUUCCCGGUGUAGCGGUGAAAUGCGUAGAGAUCGGGAGGAACAUCAGUGGCGAAGGCGGCCAUCUGGGACAACGCUGACGCUGAGGCACGAAAGCGUGGGGAGCAAACAGGAUUAGAGACCCGGGUAGUCCCUGUCUCUUAUAC
rnacentral:rRNA from 1 species